UACCAUUUCGUCAUCGACUGUGAUAUUGUGCGUGAGAGAAUCCAUGUAGCCAACGUUACGCGAUGAAAUGUUAAUUAUAGUUACGGCAAAAUGGAGCCGUCCCUAGCCAUAGUGUACGAUCAUAGAAAACUCCCAAAAAUGUCAAGUGUAUAAAAGUUGUUGGAUUUUAUCAAAACUUUCUGUCUUUUUGUACGAACGUCCAAUGUUGGGCAUAUUCAUUUGUACGUUAGUUCAGAAAUUUAGUGCUACUGGUGUAAACAAUACUCACUUUCAAAUACAACGAAUUCUGUGUCAAUAAAAAUGGCAGCAAUCAUUCAGAUUGUUCGCUUUCAGUAAAAGUUUACAUUUAUAACGCUAAGUCACAUUUCAGAGAUGUGGCAAGCGUUAGAUUCAGUUAAUUCCACCGUUAAUUCUGGGUCUCAACAAGUUGAUCAAUUUGGUACAACAGAGCUUACACCAGAACAGCAGAAAAUUCUUAUUGACAUUCGUCGGAAGAAGACUGAACUUUUACUAGAAAUUCAGCAAUUAAAGGAUGAGCUCGGAGAAGUUGUGGCAGAAAUGGAAGCAAUGGAAGGAGGAGGGUUCUCGAUGGAGGAAUCUAAUAAACCAUCGAACAAAGCAAAGCAAAUGUCGAUUGGGCGUAAAAAAUUUAACAUGGAUCCAAAAAAAGGCAUUGAGUACCUGAUCGAGCAUAAUUUAUUAUCGCCUACACCAGAAGAUGUUUCUCAGUUUCUAUAUAAAGGCGAAGGUCUUAAUAAAACUGCUAUUGGCGAUUAUCUAGGCGAGAGACACGAUUUUAAUGAACGCGUAUUACGAGCAUUUGUUGAACUCCAUGACUUUACAGAUUUAAUUCUUGUUCAAGCUCUUCGUCAGUUUCUUUGGUCAUUUCGAUUGCCAGGGGAAGCUCAAAAAAUUGAUAGAAUGAUGGAAUGUUUUGCACAGAGAUAUUGUCAACUUAAUCCUAAUAUUUUUACAAAUACUGAUACAUGUUAUGUUUUGAGUUUUGCCAUAAUUAUGUUAAAUACUUCAUUACAUAACCCAAGUGUUAAAGAUAAGCCGAGUAUUGAACAAUUUAUUACUAUGAACCGAGGUAUAAACAAUGGGGGAGACUUACCUCGGGAAUUACUUGUUAGUCUUUAUGAGAGUAUAAAAACAGAGCCUUUUAAAAUACCUGAAGACGAUGGGAAUGAUUUAAUGCAUACAUUUUUCAAUCCUGAUAAAGAAGGUUGGCUUUGGAAACAAGGCGGCCGCUAUAAAAGUUGGAAAAGAAGGUGGUUUAUUUUAAAUGAUAAUUGCUUGUAUUAUUUUGAAUAUACUACGGAUAAAGAACCACGAGGAAUAAUUCCUUUAGAAAAUAUUCAAGUUAGAGAAGUUCAAGAUAGACAUAAACCACAUUGCUUCGAAUUGUAUGCAGCAGGUUCUGAAUUCAUUAAAGCUUGCAAAACAGAUAGUGAAGGAAAAGUUGUGGAAGGAAAACAUACUGUAUAUAGAAUGUCUGCUGCAACAGAUGAAGAAAAAGAUGAAUGGAUAAAAUGUCUUAAACAAAGUAUAUCACAUAAUCCGUUUUACGAUAUGCUGGCUGCACGAAAAAAAAAGGCUCAAAAAACCAAUCUUCAUACGAAGAAUUAGAAAAAUAUAUAGAAUUAUAGGAAUAAUUGUUAUUAACGUAAAAAAAUCAAAGUACAAUCCUCUUAGUCAUGCGAUUUCGUCUAAAAAUGUCGAAUGAAAUGGCAUUAAGAUAAGAAUGAGAGGAAGGAAAAGUAGACCAACUCAAACCAUGAAUAAGACUGCGACCUGAGCCGAAAGCGAGGGUAGUAAAAACGUGAUUAGAGAUGAUCUAAUUAUUCUAUCUAGGGUUGAAUGUUUUUUCACCAUAUAUGUGCUGAAAGUUUCACAAAUCUUAUAUAUAACAGUAAACUUUUGGCGGGGAUAUGGUUACAAUAAUUUAACACUUCUUCCUAUGUAAACAUUGAAAUUAAAACGCAUGUUUUGUAAGUUGAUACGUUGCUUUAUGUGUAUAAAAGAUAUUUAUUUUA
rnacentral:misc_RNA from 1 species